UGCUUAGAAACGCUGUUAUUUACGUUGUCGUAAAACGAGGGAAACUUUAUACUGUGAAAACGUUUAUGUUAAGGACGCAACUAAAACAGCACUGAAAAGAAGAUGAGGUCUUAUAAAAGGAAGUUGGGUGCAAGAGCCUAUAGAAAUUACUCUCCAGAGACGUUAGAUAAAGCCGUUAAAUUGGUUUUAACAAAGAAAAUGACCCUGCGAGCAGCAUCUGAAAGGUUAAAUAUUCAUCGAAACACAUUGUGGAACAAAACCAAAGAGAUAAAACAUUCGACCACCUCAAACUCAGAGACAGUCAAACCUAAAAGACAGCAUGGGGGUCAACCUAUUUUUACAAAAGAAGAAGAGGAUACAUUCGUUGCUCAUUCCAUUGCAAUGGCAUCUUAUGGUUUCCCAAUGACAUUACUUGAUUUGCGCUGUGUCGUCAAAUCAUAUCUAGAUCGAACCGGAAGAAAAGUUCCCGUGUUUGUAAAUGGAAACUUUCCUGGGAGAGAGUGAGCCAUGUCAUUUAUGAAGCGGCAUAAGUAUGUUCUCUCCGAACGUGUCGCCAAAAAUAUCACAUAUGCAAGAGCUGCGACUGAUACUGAAGUGAUUGACUCAUAUUUUGAGCAUUUAGAGAAGGAGUUAGAGGGUAUUCCGCCAGAAAAAAUUUGGAAUUACGACGAAACGAACGUCCAGGACGAUCCAGGAAGCAAAGAAGUGUUGGUCAGAAGAGGAGCAAAAUAUCCAGAGCGGAUACAAAAUUGUUCCAAAGCGUGUACUUCGAUUAUGGUCUGUGGGAACGCCGCAGGACAGUUGGCUCCACUAUACGUAAAUUACAAGGCCGAGAACAUGUGGUCGACCUGGACCGAAAAUGGACCUGAAGGAGCCCGCUACAAUCGUACUAAAUCUGUAUGGUUUGAUCACCAAGUGUUUGAGGACUGGUUCAUCAAUCUUAUGCUCCCCAUACUGAAACAACAAGAUGGCCAAAAAGUUCUUAUUGGCGAUAAUUUGAGUUCGCAUAUUAACCUAGAGGUUAUUCGACUCUGCGAAAAGUAUGGGAUAAAAUUUAUCGCACUCCCAUCAAAUGCGACACAUCUACUGCAACCGCUAGAUGUUGCCAUAUUCAGAGUUCUAAAACUGAUUUGGCGUGAAAUUUUGUCAGAUUGGAAGCAAUCAACAUCUGGUAGCCGGUGCACAUCAGUUCCAAAAGAUGAACUGCCUGGUCUGUUAAAGAAAAU